CUGAUGUCUUCACUAUUAUUCUUAAAGGCGGGUCCAUUCUUCCAAGCAAGUGAUUUGGUGCCUUAUUGACAAGGGAUUACCAUUGAGCUGUCCUCAACCUUUUUGACCUUUUCCGAUCACUUGAAAAUAAGAUCUAAGCAAUAAUUAAGGAAGAAUUCAGAAGAAUUACAACUGUUGCUCCUGAGUCCACCUUUAUCCAGAAGCGGGACUAAUAUACACCAAAACUAUUGGAAUUGUUUAAAUCAAAAGGAGGUGCUGUAAAGGUGGGAGUGCAGAAAAUCUUCGAAGUUCUGUAUGGGUGCAACACCAUCCAGGAAAGAAGAGACGGUGUGAUUCGUGGCCUGAUUAUACCUUGGUGAGAGGGUUGAAGACCUUAUUACAGAAUACAAGGAUGCCGACGACACCUUGAUCCGAGAGGACCUUGUUCAGAACGAGCUUCAGGACCUCGUUCAGGUGUUCACUGUGAAGGAUCUGCACCAGAAUAUAGAGCAUGGGAUCUGCAUCGAAGGAGCAGAGGUCCUGGCUGGUAUUUGCAGUGUUACAGUCAUGUACCUUGUUUUUGGGCCUCAUCUAGAACUGACCUUUGAGGUGUUCCAAAAAGUAUUCUUGGAACUUGAUGAUCUCAGGACCUCCCCAUGGGUCCAAGCUCUAAAGAUGAAGUUACUUGUUUUCAGAGAUAUCUAAAGAUAUUUAUGAGAACUCUCAAAGGGCCACUCAAACUGUGGUCUACACCCUACUCAGUAAGCUGAAAAGCUACUUGCUAGGUGGUAUAGGAGCUGCAGUUUACAUGAUGCUCUUUGUCAGGUGAAGUCAUAAGAGACAUUGUCAAUUCCUGGUUAAAAAAACUGCUUUGUUUUAAAACUUACUACAUAUGCACUAGUGGAUUUCUGAGAUUAUUUGUAGUCAGGUGCAAGCUAUCUGGAUGUAAUUUUACCUAAGGAGGCAAGGUGGAGUUUUACCCAGAAUGCUUAUACCUGUCAAAAUAAUAUGUCCAUAUGGGCUUCACUAGUGCAAAUGUUUAAGGGACAAUUUGGCAUAUAUUUUGUAACAAUAUGUGCAAUGUAUGUUUUGAAAACCCAUAUUUUUAUUCAUCUAAAACAGUUUGAAUGAGGUUGUAUUUGAGCUAAAGUUUAUAUUGUGCUUUGUGUAAAGUCUAUUAAGAUACAUCGUUAACUUAUGUUUCUGUUAAAAUAUCACUUUGAUGUUAAGGGGCACACAGACCACCAGAGAAUUCUUGCCAAAAUGUACAAGAUGUGAGGUCAAAGUGUUAAUCCCAGACUAUCACCUAAACUUUAUGCAGUUGUGAAGAUCUGAAAUGAUUUGUAGUCAGGUGCAAGCAAUCUGGAUGUAACUUUACCUAAGGAGGCAAGGUGGUUAUACCCAGAACGCUUAAAGAUUACAAAAUAAUGAGCUCUCCACAAAUGCUUAAGGAGUAGAGUUUUACGGGGCAAUUUGAGAUUGAAGUUUGAAGAAAACCUUUAUUCAAAAUAAAGGUGUUAAAGUUUGAAAUUGAGCACUGUUGUUUCUUUUUGCAUAUUCCCUUGUAUAGAAAUAAUACAUUUUAGUCAAUUAUACCAAGUAUAUUGAGGUAACUGUU